rnacentral:rRNA from 1 species
GAUGAACGCUGGCGGCGUGCCUAAUACAUGCAAGUCGAGCGAACGGACGAGAAGCUUGCUUUUCUGAUGUUAGCGGCGGACGGGUGAGUAACACGUGGAUAACCUACCUAUAAGACUGGGAUAACUUCGGGAAACCGGAGCUAAUACCGUAUAAUAUUUUGAACCGCAUGGUUCAAAAGUGAAAGACGGUCUUGCUGUCACUUAUAGAUGGAUCCGCGCUGCAUUAGCUAGUUGGUAAGGUAACGGCUUACCAAGGCAACGAUGCAUAGCCGACCUGAGAGGGUGAUCGGCCACACUGGAACUGAGACACGGUCCAGACUCCUACGGGAGGCAGCAGUAGGGAAUCUUCCGCAAUGGGCGAAAGCCUGACGGAGCAACGCCGCGUGAGUGAUGAAGGUCUUCGGAUCGUAAAACUCUGUUAUUAGGGAAGAACAUAUGUGUAAGUAACUGUGCACAUCUUGACGGUACCUAAUCAGAAAGCCACGGCUAACUACGUG